CAGUAUCAGUGCUAGAGGGACUGAACGAACUUCAAAUCAUCGCUGUGCAAUUCGAAGAGAAGAUUUAUACUGAAGCGACCAGUCAGGUAAUUUAAUCCGUCUACUCGAAGCAGAGCACAGUUUAUUUUAUUUUUAGUUAUGGGGGUCAAACAAGGUUUAUGGGCUAAUAAUAGAGCAGAACUGUCUCCAAAUGUUGUAGAGGAUACUUUUUAAGUCAUGUUUAGUACCAUGUAUAAGGCGGUGGUCAUUGCGACGACACACGUCAGGUCAGCUAAUUGCUUCUGUUUCUUUCAACCAGUAGUACGUAGCAGCUAUGGAGUGAGAUGUGCUAAUUAAUUUGUACCACCGUACGCUUACAGAGUUCCCCUUUCUUUUCUUUUUAUGUGUAAUAGCCAAGAUGAUGUGCUUUACACUUACAACUCGUGCUGACUGAAUCGGAGCAAGCCUCCUGCCAGUUCCACCAUGUAACACUCUGCAGGUACAGCUCAAAUAUUGCUCUGUUUCUCCCAAAUUUAGUCGAUCAGAUUUCUAGCUAUCUUGUUCCUUUUAGUAUGUUCCGACGUGCAUGCAUUCUAAAGCUGCGCAUGCUUAUAUAAAACGCAAGCAUGAUCUCAGUCACAUUGUAUUCAGCUUGUGAACACAUAUAUUUUACACGUACCCCUGUUUGUAGCAAAGAAGACUUCCUUAAUUUUCUACCUGCUGACAGAGUUUCACAUCUCAGGUUGUCGAAAUAAGAUAGUGCUCUGUAGUGCAUUCCGAUUCAGUUGGGUACCCUGGAGCCCCACCAUCCUGCAGUAAUUAUUCAUCCCAUUGUCGACAAUUACAAGAUGGGACCCAACUUCAAGAGAGGCCAAAUGGUUUCUCCAUACGGCGGAACAUCACAGUAGCAUUUCCUUGUAAAUUUCAGUGUUGCACUGUUUAAUCAGCUGAUCUCAUUCUAAAAAUUCAGUGAUGGUGGUACCGAGUACAGAGUACAGAGUACAGACAAAUGUGCAAAGCUCAGGCAGAAUCAAUGGCUGGGACUGGGAGAUGUCGUUCCAAGUAGCCUCUUGGAUGGUCGUCGUAAGUACCUUCACAUUGAAUUAGCAGCAAAGCCUCUUCAUUUCGAGCAGUGAUGUAGCCCGUAUUGGUAAACUAGUGUUGGGGAACAUAGCAGAAAUUUAAAAUUUUCCUACG
rnacentral:lncRNA from 1 species